rnacentral:rRNA from 1 species
UACAGGGGGGGCAAGCGUUGUUCGGAAUUACUGGGCGUAAAGGGCCAGUAGGCGGCCAACUAAGUCACACGUGAAAUCCCCAGGCUUAACCUGGGAACUGCGUGUGAUACUGGAUGGCUUGAAUUCGGGAGAGGGAUGCAGAAUUCCAGGUGUAGCGGUGAAAUGCGCAGAUAUCAGGAGGAACACCAGUGGCGAAGGCGGUGCUCUGGGCCGGAACUGACGCUGAGGAGCGAAAGCGUGGGGAGCAAACAGG